ACAUUGAUUGCGCACGUAGUUUGUUAGACUAACCGCUAUAUAAGGACGUAACUCAGUAAUUCCUAACUACUCAUCUAGUCAUAGAACAAGGACACACUGACAACUGCGAACCAGCAGGGUUGGAUCUAUAUACGAUGACGUCCACGUGUUGCCUAGUACUAUUAGUUGUAUGUGUAGUUUUGCUGGCGGGAGUUUGGAGUGACUGCGAUAUUGGAUUAAAUGGAGGAAAGAAUUUUUGUGAAAUUGGAGGUGUAAAAUUAAGAAUAAAUGAAACAAGAGUAUUAAGUAGAACGUGUAAAGAAUGUAUGUGCUCUAAAGAAUACUGGAUUUGUUGUGGAAUGGGCUACCGGGAUGCGUCAGUGAAGGAAAGAGGGUGUUUUAUCAAGAUCUAUGAGAAUUGCUGUUAUCAAUUUGUGAAAACCUAUAAUGAAAACAUUCCAUGUUCCAGUAUGCAAUGUUUACAAAGAUCACACAAGUGAAUUAAGUCUCUUUCUACGUAGACGGUAUAGUGUGAGAUGUCUACCGUAUGCAGUGUUCUAAUAUUCAAAAGUACCGGGGUCGUUUGCUAGAAAUAUAUAAAGGACGUAUCUUCUUCGUUAUGUAGCGCUAAACUUUCGAUUACAACCACGUUGCCUUCUGUACCAUUAAAUUUUCAUUCUGGCAUGGGAAGCGGAAGUCGGUCGAUGUAUCUGUUUUAGUAUCGUAUUUGAAAGUUUAAAAAUGAAAAAAAAUAUUUUUCCAAUCUUAAUUAUAAAAUAAUAUAUCGACCCAACAAAACAAUUGAAUACAUUGACACUUUUAUUUUUCACCCAAAUGAAAAGCUGCUGCGAUUGUUCUAUGGCUCAUCUUAACAUGGUUUUGUGUUUCAAAUCUCCAUUAACUUUGUGUUGGGUAAGACUGCCCACACAGGCGUGUCUCCAAAAAUGUGAUCUGAACCUCCUCUGCUCAAAUUCCUGUACACGUCCCAGUCACUAAGAUAAAGUCCACUGUGGCAUCGAUCUUUAGAAAACCUCAUCUGAUUAAUAUUCAGAACUCUAUUUCGUUUCGUAUAACAAUAUUACACUUUUGUCUGCCUACACUCAAAUGUGCAGGUGAUCUAUGACUGAAUAACGUAGAUUAUUAUGAUGAACUUUUUUUUUUUUUUUAGUUCUUUACGUCUCUGUAGGUAUCUCACUAUUUCUAGAACACUCGAUUUCUCUUCGCUAUUGCGUUAUUUAUAAUCUUGACAUAUUCCUAUUUACUAUAAAAUGAUCUUGAUUUCACCCUUUCCUAAUGAAUUGAUGUAUCUGUGCUGCCCAUCCCAAGCCAUACUCUAUAUAGUGUUUAUGCUGUCACAGAUGCCAUUUAAUUGUGACCUCUCCUUCCCCACCCCAUACUUUAUAUUUUAUGUUUUUUCAGGUGCCAUUUAAUGUAGGUUUCCAUCUUAUAUCUUUCCAAGUCAUUAACCGUUACUUUUAUAUAGGAUGUGUUCCGUUGGGUGUAAAAAUAAUUCAGUGAUUCAUUUAUCCUUAAUCAAAUCAAAGGUUAAAGAAUAAGUAGGGUAAUGAGCUGAACAGGGAUGUCUAAUGAGAAUCUAAUUCCCCUGUCCGCUGCAAAUAAACUGCUAAAGCUGCACAGAUUUAAAUCAUAAUACCUUUAUAAAAGGAAAGUUAACGAUAUUAGCCGGAAAAGCCUCUGUCGGGGAACAUGUCUCGCACCGCAUUGCACACGUAGAUAUUGAAAUAAAAAUUACCAGACGCUAAAACCCCAUGCUAUUUUAACUGAUAUACGUGUCAUUACCCAUCCUGACUUUGCGUUCAUGGAAAUAAAAUAAAAUGGAGUUUAACGUGUAACUGCUAAACCAACAUGAAGAAAGAAAUUUUGUCCGACAGCGGCGUUUCCUGUUACUCUUCUUUGAAUUUCGUAUCAUAAGGCCUGUCAUUGAGUCAACUGGCGUGGUUUCGAAUCCCUGGUUGUACGUGACAAGGAGUAGGGUCGCCUGUCAACCUCGUGGGUUUUCUCCGGGUCCUCCGGUUUCCUCCCACUGCUAAAGACCCCUAUGCGCAAGCGAAUUAUUGAAAUAAAAUUGAACCAUGUGUUAGUCCCGAAAGGACCUAGUUUGUGUCGAGUGGACGUUAAACCCCAUUUCUCUCUCUCUCUUUCAAUUUCAUCUACAUGGGGUUCUUUUAAAGCACGCCAGUGUGUACCCUGGACCUCGGUUUUUCGUCCCAUCUGAAUUCAGAAUAAGAGUAGGCCAUUUCGCCACUGUCCGGACAAAAUCUGGAUGGAGUAGAAAAGUAGGACGUUAAACCCCAUUUUAUUUCAUAACUUGCAACUACUACAAUGGAUGAUUGAUUGGUCUGUGCGUAUAUGAUAUCUAUAUUGUUGCAUAAAGCCCUCUGUAGACCGACUAACAAAUGUUUUAUAUAUUUUAAAAUUUCCCGCAAACGAAGAAUGUUCAACACAACCGACCAGCAUUUGUUCAAAAGAGACCGAUGUUAUUUUCAUAUGAAAUCCAACAUACACCGACAAACUUUUGUCGGAAAACAUUGUUCGGCCAACAAAUGUUAGCCGGUCUGCGGUGGGCUUUAGCCAAAUGUAACACAUUAGAUGAUACUUCAUUCAUUAUCUUGUAUUGACAUUCUGUUGUAAACUUUAUUUGCAGUGGUUAACAGGGCCUCCCACGACGUCAUAUUAUGUACUAAUCAUUUAUGUGCCUGAAUUAAAUGAAAAAUGAAUAAAAUAGGUUUUCCGCUAACUCUUAAUGCAUCCCCAUUUAUUACCUAAAUUUAGGUGGUUUAUACUCUAUAAUUGUAUUUAAUCAUACUUUUAAUCUGGACAAUAUAAAUAAUUGUAUAUCACAUUAACUUUAUAUAGAUCUAAAUAUAUAUAUUAUAUGUAAAAAGUGUUCAAGUUGAUUUGGGAUUGAAUGGUAGUUAUUUUCGAAGAGCAGACAAAUUGUCUGAAAAUAUAUUUUGAUAUGAUUUUAAGUAACGAUAUUGUAAAACUACACAUUUUGAACUUUCAAUUAUACUCAGUUAAUAUGAAUGUAAAUAAUUAUUCAUUGGAGAUUACUUAUUGAUAUUAAUGAAAGCUCAAUUGAAUAUUUUCCUGUGGCUGUAUGAGUGCGUGACAUUGUUAUUCCUAUAACGUACUUGAGAACAAUUAAACGCUGUUAUAAUAAUGCCAAUUGUUAAAUUAGUUAAUGUAUAUAACGGAUAACUUGUAGUUAUGUUGAACAGACAUUGUCAGCGUCACGUAUUUCAACUGUGGUUAGUAUAAUGUAAUGUAAAAUAGUGACGUCAAUGUUAUAAAAUAGCACUUCCUCUU